UUAUAUCAUCUUUUGUAUUUGAUGAUUAGAAAUGUUAAAGUAAUGAGAGUAAGCAUUCUAUGUUAAAGUAAUGUGAUGUAAAAAGAAAUGAUGAAAAGCAAUGUAAUGGAGAAAAAUAUUGUAUGCUUGUAAAUGGUUAAAAGUUAAUCAUUCUACUUGUAUGGUUGUAUAGUUUAGAAUUCUUUCACUUUAGCUAUUG
rnacentral:lncRNA from 1 species